rnacentral:lncRNA from 1 species
CUUUUGGCAAACAAACCCCUCAGCCAAAAAGCCUUGCAUGUUUAGAAGUGGUGGAGUAGCGUACUCCCUGUCGGUUAAGUCUUGUUGAGCUUAGUAGCUCAGCCUUGUUGUGGCUCUUCUUUUUCAGGUGAAGUUGCUGCCCCUGAGCAAUCCUCUGUUGGCACUUGGCCGCCCCAACUCCCUCCGGGUUGGACGGUUGAGUGGGAUCCCUCCUCGGACGGUGAGGAGAGGGAUCACUGAUGUCCCGGUUGGCCUCACCAGGGAUGUCCGACCCUGACGAAGUAGCUUCCGCUUGUUAUUUUACCUUCUGUUGUUUUCUUCUGAACUUGUAAAACUCUGAUGUUGUUUUAUGGCCAAACUAAAUGGUUAAUUUGAUAACUUAGUGGACUUUUUGUCUUCUCUGGAACCGCUCACCUUCGUGUGGGUUUGCUAUUCGGUCCUGUUCAAGUGGUUAAAUCGGAUGAAAUCCGACGGCACUUCGUGUUUACUUGGUUAAGGCAUGAGUGUCACAUAUUAGGCGGCUUAAUCAUGUUUAAUCAAGCAAAUCUGAAGUGGAUCCGCCACAGCUGGUACCAGAGCCGGUUUAGCAAGACAGAGGACACAAUAGGCCCUAAUCACUUCUUUAAAAAAAAGAUAAAAGUUGCAAGAAACUCUUUGAAAAAUCUCGUACAAUCGUUAAGGAUGACUUUAAUACGAGAGGCCCUAGGGGAUUUUGGGUUGUUUUUAGGUGGCUAAUAUUUAUUGGUUAUCUUGCUAACCCUCCAGCACUUCGCCACAUUUAUCAUACGUGUGCCGAGUUCCGCAUCACGAGUAUGCGAGGGUUGAUAGGGAGUUCUAUUCAAAGGACCCUAUCAUCGCGGUUGUUUCGCCCACGUUUAUCAUACGUGCGCAGGUUCCGUAUGUUAAUCCAUACGAAGGCUGGUAUGGUUCGAUUCCAACGAGCCUAUCAUCACGGUUGUUCGCCACGUCUAUUAUACGUGUGCUGAUUUCGCAUCGCGAGUAUGCGAAGGGUCAUAAGGUUCCAUUCAAAGGGGACCUAUUUCCACGGUUGGGUGCUGUCCAUGCAGCCUUGAACGCAUGGGUGCCGUUCCUAUAGUGAACAGUAAUGUUUGGGAACGCUUUCGUGGGUGCUGGCACGAAAGGUUCAUGUGGUUGUGUUUUCUGCAGGUACCUAACCGCGUUCGCUUAGGAGACGUUGAUAGAGUCGGAGUGCCCGAUCUUUCGGUGAGUGGAGAUAAAUUCGACUUGGUGGAAGUAGACCCUCACGAUCCGACUACGACGAGCGAACCCGAAGCGCCAAUGCAAUCGCUGAACCAACUCCCGAUGGUUACCAACCUCGCCGGUGCGAGAUCAGCCGGAUCAUGAAGAUCGAUUCCUGUCCGCAAUCGAAGAACGAACAAGAAAAAGAGGCGAGCAAUCUAAAUAUCACUCGAAGGUGGAGUUCUGAAUCACAAGGACAGCGCGUAUUUGCGCGUGUUCAAGAGUAGCUAAAGCUAGAUGUAAAACAAAACUCAAGUCGUAAACAAAAAGGACUCGGACUAAAUAAAGGGGGCGCAGCCCCUGGAGUCCGAAGGGGUCACGCGCGCCCAACCCUAGGCGCCCCACUUGGGCUGCCCUGUUGGGCCAUCUUCUUAUUCCGAUGGGCCUUCGUUCCUUAACACCAUGAUGAAGUUUAAUUCUCUCGCACGGGCCCGAGUGAUUGGCCCAACUGGAUGAUCAACUGUAGGCGCCUGAAGUGGAGGAGCAACUGGAGGCCCCUUCUUGAACUCAAGUCGUCCUCGACGGCAACUCCUCAUCUUCACCCACAUACGGUUUCAAAUCUGCAACAUUAAAACUCGUGGAAACACCAAACUCCGCAGGCAGGUCAAGGAUAUAAGCAUUAUCAUUAAUCUUGGUUAGCACUUUAAAAGGACCAGCAGCACAUGGCAUCAAUUUAGAACGACGUAAAGUAGGAAAACGAUCCUUUCUCAAAUGCAACCAAACCAGAUCACCCGGUGCAAAAGUAACAUGUUUUCUCCCUUUACUACCCGCAACCUGAUAUUUAGCAUUAGCAGCAGCAAUGUUUUGUUGAGUUUGCUCAUGCAAGCUAAUCAUUUGAUCAACAUGUGCAGCGGCAUCUAUGUGUGGGGUGUCCUCGGCAUCAAGUGCAAACAAAUCAAUAGGCGCCCGAGGAAUAUAACCAUAAACAACUUGAAAAGGACACAUCGUUGUAGAAGAAUGCGUUGCAUGAUUAUAAGCAAACUCAACAUGAGGCAAGCAAUCUUCCCAACGUUUCAAGUGUUUAUCUAAAACAGCCCUAAGCAUAGUGGACAAGGUUCGAUUAACCACCUCAGUUUGUCCAUCAGUCUGAGGGUGACAAGUGGUGCUAAACAGCAAUUUAGUUCCCAUUUUAUUCCACAGUGAUCUCCAAAAAUGACUGAGAAACUUAGCAUCACGAUCAGAGACUAUUGUAUUUGGAAUACCAUGCAAACGAAUAAUCUCGCGAAAGAACAAUUCAGCAACAUUGCUAGCAUCAUCAGUUUUAUGACAAGGUAUAAAAUGAGCCAUUUUGGAGAAACGAUCAACAACCACAAAAAUACUGUCCCUCCCCUUCUUAGUUCUAGGCAAUCCCAAAACAAAGUCCAUAGAAAUAUCAAGCCAAGGGGAAGUAGGAACAGGCAAAGGCAUGUACAAACCAUGGUUGUUCAAUCGUGACUUAGCUUUCUGGCAAGUAGUGCAGCGUGCAACAAGGCGCUCAACAUCAGCACGCAUCCGGGGCCAAAAGAAGUGGGCAGCCAGCACUUCAUGCGUCUUGUAGAUGCCAAAGUGCCCCAUGAGACCGCCUCCAUGCGCUUCCUGUAACAACAAACGACGAACUGAGCUAGCUAGAACACACAGCUUGUUAGCGCGAAACAGGAACCCGUCCUGUAUGUGAAAUUUGCCCCAUGGUUUGCCAUGAAUACAGUGGGCGAAAGCAUCUUUAAAAUCAGCAUCAUGCACAUAUUGAUCCUUCACAGUUUGCAAGCCAAAGAUUUUAAAAUCUAACUGUGACAGCAUGGUAUAGCGACGAGACAAAGCAUCAACAAUGACAUUUUCCUUCCCGCUCUUGUGUUUAAUAAUGUAAGGGAAAGACUCAAUGAAUUCUACCCAUUUAGCAUGACAACGGUUCAGGUUUGUUUGGGUACAAAUAUGUUUUAAAGCCUCAUGAUCAAAAUGAAUUAUAAACUCACGAUGCCAAAGGUAGUGCUGCCAAGUAUGCAAAGUGCGCACUAAAGCAUAAAGCUCCUUAUCGUAAGUAGAAUAAUUCAAGCUAGCACCACUUAAUUUCUCGCUAAAGUAAGCAACCGGUUUUCCUUCUUGUAACAAAAUAGCACCAAGCCCAAUACCGCUAGCAUCGCAUUCAAGCUCAAACACUUUAGUAAAAUCAGGCAACUGCAAGAGAGGAGCAGUUUUGAUCCGUUGACAAAACCACUCCCGCAGGCUAAGCAUUCUGAUCCGUUGACAAAACCACUCCCGCAGGCUAAGCAUGAUGCGCAUGUAAGAGCGAUGGGUAAUAGGCUAAGCAUUUCUGCAAUCGCUGAACCAACUCCCGAUGGUUACCAACCUCGCCGGUGCGAGAUCAGCCUGAUCACGAAGAUCGAUUCCUGUCCGCAAUCGAAGAACGAACAAGAAAAAGAGGCGAGCAAUUUAAAUAUCACUCGAAGGUGGAGUUCUGAAUCACAAGGACAGCGCGUAUUUGCGCGUGUUCAAGAGUAGCUAAAGCUAGAUGUAAAAUAAAACUCAAGUCGUAAACAAAAAGGACUCGGACUAAAUAAAGGGGGCGCAGUCCCUGGAGUCCGAAGGGGUCACGCGCGCCCAACCCUAGGCGCCCCACUUGGGCUGCCCUGUUAGGCCAUCUUCUUAUUCCGAUGGGCCUUCGUUCCUUAACACCAUGAUGAAGUUUAAUUCUCUCGCACGGGCCCGAGUGAUUGGCCCAACUGGAUGAUCAACUGUAGGCGCCUGAAGUGGAGGAGCAACUGGAGGCCCAUUCUUGAACUGAAGUCGUCCUCGACGGCAACUCCUCAUCUUCACCCACAUACGGUUUCAAAUCUGCAACAUUAAAACUUGUGGAAACACCAAACUCCGCAGGCAGGUCAAGGAUAUAAGCAUUAUCAUUAAUCUUGGUUAGCACUUUAAAAGGACCAGCAGCACGUGGCAUCAAUUUAGAACGACGUUAAGUAGGAAAACGAUCCUUUCUCAAAUGCAACCAAACCAAAUCACCCGGUGCAAAAGUAACAUGUUUUCUCCCUUUACUACCCGCAACCUGAUAUUUAGCAUUAGCAGCAGCAAUGUUUUGUUGAGUUUGCUCAUGCAAGCUAAUCAUUUGAUCAACAUGUGCAGCGGCAUCUAUGUGUGGGGCGUCCUCGGCAUCAAGUGCAAACAAAUCAAUAGGCGCCCGAGGAAUAUAACCAUACACAACCUGAAAAGGACACAUCUUUGUAGAAGAAUGCGUUGCAUGAUUAUAAGCAAACUCAACAUGAGGCAAGCAAUCUUCCCAACGUUUCAAGUGUGUAUCUAAAACAGCCCUAAGCAUAGUGGACAAGGUUCGAUUAACCACCUCAGUUUGUCCAUCAGUCUGAGGGUGACAAGUGGUGCUAAACAGCAAUUUAGUUCCCAUUUUAUUCCACAGUGAUCUCCAAAAAUGACUGAGAAACUUAGCAUCACGAUCAGAGACUAUUGUAUUUGGAAUACCAUGCAAACGAAUAAUCUCGCGAAAGAACAAUUCAGCAACAUUGCUAGCAUCAUCAGUUUUAUGACAAGGUAUAAAAUGAGCCAUUUUGGAGAAACGAUCAACAACCACAAAAAUACUGUCCCUCCCCUUCUUAGUUCUAGGCAAUCCCAAAACAAAGUCCAUAGAAAUAUCAAGCCAAGGGGAAGUAGGAACAGGCAAAGGCAUGUACAAACCAUGGUUGUUCAAUUGUGACUUAGCUUUCUGGCAAGUAGUGCAGCGUGCAACAAGGCGCUCAACAUCAGCACGCAUCCGGGGCCAAAAGAAGUGGGCAGCCAGCACUUCAUGCGUCUUGUAGAUGCCAAAGUGCCCCAUGAGACCGCCUCCAUGCGCUUCCUGUAACAACAAACGACGAACCGAGCUAGCGGGAACACACAGCUUGUUAGCGCGAAACAGGAACCCGUCCUGUAUGUGAAAUUUGCCCCAUGGUUUGCCAUGAAUACAGUGGGCGAAAGCAUCUUUAAAAUCAGCAUCAUGCACAUAUUGAUCCUUCACAGUUUGCAAGCCAAAGAUUUGAAAAUCUAACUGUGACAGCAUGGUAUAGCGACGAGACAAAGCAUCAACAAUGACAUUUUCCUUCCCGCUCUUGUGUUUAAUAAUGUAAGGGAAAGACUCAAUGAAUUCUACCCAUUUAGCAUGACGACGGUUCAGGUUUGUUUGGGUACAAAUAUGUUUUAAAGCCUCAUGAUCAGAAUGAAUUAUAAACUCACGAUGCCAAAGGUAGUGCUGCCAAGUAUGCAAAGUGCGCACUAAAGCAUAAAGCUCCUUAUCGUAAGUAGAAUAAUUCAAGCUAGCACCACUUAAUUUCUCGCUAAAGUAAGCAACCGGUUUUCCUUCUUGUAACAAAAUAGCACCAAGCCCAAUACCGCUAGCAUCGCAUUCAAGCUCAAACACUUUAGUAAAAUCAGGCAACUGCAAGAGAGGAGCAGUUUUGAUCCGUUGACAAAACCACUCCCGCAGGCUAAGCAUUCUGAUCCGUUGACAAAACCACUCCCGCAGGCUAAGCAUGAUGCGCAUGUAAGAGCGAUGGGUAUUAGGCUAAGCAUUUCUGCAAUCGCUGAACCAACUCCCGAUGGUUACCAACCUCGCCGGUGCGAGAUCAGCCUGAUCACGAGGAUCGAUUCCUGUCUGCAAUCGAAGAACGGACAAGAAAAAGAGGCGAGCAAUCUAAAUAUCACUCGAAGGUGGAGUUCUGAAUCACAAGGACAGCGCGUAUUUGCACGUGUUCAAGAGUAGCUAAAGCUAGAUGUAAAAUAAAACUCAAGUCGUAAACAAAAAGGACUCGGACUAAAUAAAGGGGGCGCAGCCCCUGGAGUCCGAAGGGGUCACGCGCGCCCAACCCUAGGCGCCCCACUUGGGCUGCCCUGUUGGGCCAUCUUCUUAUUCCGAUGGGCCUUCGUUCCUUAACACCAUGAUGAAGUUUAAUUCUCUCGCACGGGCCCGAGUGAUUGGCCCAACUGGAUGAUCAACUGUAGGCGCCUGAAGUGGAGGAGCAACUGGAGGCCCCUUCUUGAACUGAAGUCGUCCUCGACGGCAACUCCUCAUCUUCACCCACAUACGGUUUCAAAUCUGCAACAUUAAAACUUGUGGAAACACCAAACUCCGCAGGCAGGUCAAGGAUAUAAGCAUUAUCAUUAAUCUUGGUUAGCACUUUAAAAGGACCAGCAGCACGUGGCAUCAAUUUAGAACGACGUAAAGUAGGAAAACGAUCCUUUCUCAAAUGCAACCAAACCAGAUCACCCGGUGCAAAAGUAACAUGUUUUCUCCCUUUACUACCCGCAACCUGAUAUUUAGCAUUAGCAGCAGCAAUGUUUUGUUGAGUUUGCUCAUGCAAGCUAAUCAUUUGAUCAACAUGUGCAGCGGCAUCUAUGUGUGGGGCGUCCUCGGCAUCAAGUGCAAACAAAUCAAUAGGCGCCCGAGGAAUAUAACCAUACACAACCUAAAAAGGACACAUCUUUGUAGAAGAAUGCAUUGCAUGAUUAUAAGCAAACUCAACAUGAGGCAAGCAAUCUUCCCAACGUUUCAAGUGUGUAUCUAAAACAGCCCUAAGCAUAGUGGACAAGGUUCGAUUAACCACCUCAGUUUGUCCAUCAGUCUGAGGGUGACAAGUGGUGCUAAAUAGCAAUUUAGUUCCCAUUUUAUUCCACAGUGAUCUCCAAAAAUGACUGAGAAACUUAGCAUCACGAUCAGAGACUAUUGUAUUUGGAAUACCAUGCAAACGAAUAAUAUCGCGAAAGAACAAUUCAGCAACAUUGCUAGCAUCAUCAGUUUUAUGACAAGGUAUAAAAUGAGCCAUUUUGGAGAAACGAUCAACAACCACAAAAAUACUGUCCCUCCCCUUCUUAGUUCUAGGCAAUCCCAAAACAAAGUCCAUAGAAAUAUCAAGCCAAGGGGAAGUAGGAACAGGCAAAGGCAUGUACAAACUAUGGUUGUUCAAUCGUGACUUAGCUUUCUGGCAAGUAGUGCAGCGUGCAACAAGGCGCUCAACAUCAGCACGCAUCCGGGGCCAAAAGAAGUGGGCAGCCAGCACUUCAUGCGUCUUGUAGAUGCCAAAGUGCCCCAUGAGACCGCCUCCAUGCGCUUCCUGUAACAACAAACGACGAACCGAGCUAGCUGGAACACACAGCUUGUUAGCGCGAAACAGGAACCCGUCCUGUAUGUGAAAUUUGCCCCAUGGUUUGCUAUGAAUACAGUGGGCGAAAGCAUCUUUAAAAUCAGCAUCAUGCACAUAUUGAUCCUUCACAGUUUGCAAGCCAAAGAUUUUAAAAUCUAACUGUGACAGCAUGGUAUAGCGACGAGACAAAGCAUCAGCAAUGACAUUUUCCUUCCCGCUCUUAUGUUUAAUAAUGUAAGGGAAAGACUCAAUGAAUUCUACCCAUUUAGCAUGACGACGGUUCAGGUUUGUUUGGGUACGAAUAUGUUUUAAAGCCUCAUGAUCAGAAUGAAUUAUAAACUCACGAUGCCAAAGUUAGUGCUGCCAAGUAUGCAAAGUGCGCACUAAAGCAUAAAGCUACUUAUCGUAAGUAGAAUAAUUCAAGCUAGCACCACUUAAUUUCUCGCUAAAGUAAGCAACCGGUUUUCCUUCUUGUAACAAAACAGCACCUAGCCCAAUACCGCUAGCAUCGCAUUCAAGCUCAAACACUUUAGUAAAAUCUGGCAACUGCAAGAGAGGAGCAUUGGUUAACUUAUCUUUCAAGGUGCUGAACGCAACCUCUUGCGAAUCACUCCAAGCAAAGGGAACAUCUUUCUUUGUAAGCUCAUGUAGAGGCGCUGCAAUGGGGCUAAAAUCACGAACAAACCGGUGGUAGAAACCUGCAAGGCCAAGAAAGCUUCGAAUUUGUGUGACCGUCGUCGGUGUAGGCCACUCCCGAAUGGCAUCAAUCUUGCUGCUAUCCACCUCAAUGCCCUGUGGAGUAACAACAUAGCCAAGAAACGAGACACGUUGUGUGCAAAACAUGCAUUUUUCGAGGUUAGCAAAUAAAUGGGCCGCACGCAAUGCAUCAAAAAUAGCACGCAAAUGUUCUAAAUGCUCUUCCAUAGACUUGCUGUAAAUGAGGAUAUCAUCAAAAUAGACAACUACAAACAAUCCUAUGAAGGGCCUCAGAACUUCAUUCAUCAAACGCAUAAAUGUGCUGGGAGCAUUUGUCAAACCAAACGGCAUAACCAACCAUUCAUAUAACCCAAAUUUCGUUUUAAAAGCCGUUUUCCAUUCAUCACCUAAUUUCAUGCGAAUCUGAUGGUAGCCACUACGCAAAUCAAUCUUAGUGAAAAUAAUGGCACCACUAAGCUCAUCUAGCUUAUCAUCAAGGCGUGGUAUAGGGUAUCGGUAGCGAAUGGUAAUGUUAUUAAUAGCACGACAGUCUACACACAUACGCCAUGAGCCAUCUUUCUUUGGAACAAGUAACACGGGAACGGAGCAAGGGCUAAGAGACUCACGAAUAUAACCCUUGUCAAGCAACGCCUGUACUUGGCGCUGGAUUUCCUUCGUCUCAUCCGAAUUUGUACGGUACGGUGCGCGGUUCGGAAGCUGUGCGCCGGGAAUGAGGUCGAUCUGGUGCUCAAUGCCACGAAGUGGUGGGAGUCCCGGUGGCAAAUCUUUUGGAAAGACAUCAGCGUACUCCUGCAAAAUGUUAGCAACCGCAGGGGGAAUAUCCAAAGAUGGUGCAUCAUCAAGUGAAACGAGCACACUAGAGCAUAUAAGGGCAUAGCAUGGCAAAGGAGCAUCGCGUAACUCAUCAAAAUCAGCACGUGUGGCAAGCAAAACAGGAGCAUUCAACUUGAUUUCAGAAUUAAGAGAUGUCGAUGGUUCAAGUUGUUUAGCAGUUUUAGCAGCUCUAGCAAGAUCAUCUUUAAGAAUUUGUUCAGGUGUCAUUGGAUGUAUAAUUAUUUUCUGACCCUUAAACAUGAAAGAAUAGUGAUUUGAACGACCAUGAUGCAAGCUAUCAGUAUCAUAUUGCCAAGGUCGCCCAAGUAACAGAGAGCAUGCUUCCAUGGGAAUAACAUCACAAUCGACAAAAUCAGAAUAAGCACCCACGGAGAAAGGAACACGGACUGAUCGAGUAAUUCUAAUUUUCCCAUCAUCAUUAAGCCAUUGAAUGUGAUAUGGAUGUGGAUGCUUACGAGUGGGUAAAGACAACUUUUCAACCAGCGUGGUACUCGCCAAAUUGUUGCAGCUGCCGCUGUCGAUGAUGAUGCGAAUCGACCGCUCCUACACAACGCCCUUGGUAUGGAAAAGAGUGUGUCGCUGAUUCUUCUCGGACGGGGCGACCUGUGUACUAAGAACACGCUGCACAACAAGACUUUCAUACCUAUCGGCGUCGCCCGGGUUGACAUGUACCUCCAUAGCUGCAUGGUCAGUGGCAAGCAUCGCAUGUCGAGUAUCUUCAGAAUCACUAGCGGAAGAGUACUCACCAUCAUCACGAAGAAGCAAAGUGCGCUUGUUCGGACAGUCCCGAAUCACGUGGCCAAAUCCUUUGCAACGAUGACACUGAAUAUCCCGUGUACGGCCUGUGGGAGGGGUGGCGCCUGUGGAAGGGGCAGCGCUUGCAGGUUUGGCCGGUCGCUCGCGCGGUGUAGUGGUGGGCGUGGGUGGCGCAGGGAGAGCGGGUGCGGAGUUGGAUGUCGAGCUUCUUCCUGCAAAAGAGUUAGAAUAUGUCUUCGAGCGGCGUCCCUGCACUUCACGUUCAGCUUUGCAAGCAUAUUCAAAUAAUGUUGUCAUAUCUGUGUAGUCCUUAUAAUCAAGUAUAUCCUGAAUUUCGCGGUUCAAACCACCACGAAAACGUGCCAUAGCAGCGUCAUUUUCCUCCAAUAACCCACAACGAAUCAUGCCUAUUUGUAAUUCCUGGAAAUAUUCCUCAACAGAUUUGGAACCUUGCUGAAAACGUUGCAUUUUAUUAAGCAAAUCUCGGGCAUAAUAAGAAGGCACAAAUCUGUGGCGCAUAGCAGUUUUUAAUUUCUCCCAAGUGCUAGGAAUGGUAUUGGGAUGUUUGUGUUUAUAUUCACGCCACCAAAUUAAAGCAAAAUCAGUAAAUUCACUAAUAGCAGCUUUAACUUGAGAAUUAGCAAGAAUAUCAUGGCAUGAAAAUUUCUGUUCAACUUCUAAUUCCCAAUCAAGAUAUGCAGCAGGAUCAUAUUUGCCAUUAAAAGGUGGAAUUUUAAAUUUAAUCUUGGAAAAGGAAUCAUUACCACCGAGACGGCGUGGCACGCGGCGGGCACGGCCUCGGCGGUCGCCAUCAUCCUGGUCCGAGUCACCACCAUAACCCUGCUGCAACUCUGCGACUGUUGUGUGCAAUGCAUCGAGUCUUGCCACAACUGAGUCGAGUGUGGCCUUAGCGGCCGUCUGUGCAAGGUCAAGCUGAUCACACCGCUCGGUCGUCGAGGAGAUCGUCGAGUCUAGCCGUUCAUGAAUCGUCUGAAUGUCGGUGACAAGCCCUUCAACUUGUGCCCGUAUGCCCUGCAGCUGGUUAGCCCCCGUGUCGACAUCAUCUGCCAUGGUUAGCGCAAAUACAAGAACAAAAGCGACGACAAAACAGGGGUGUAACGGCUCACAAGGCGCUCACACUAGUGCUGUUAUCAAAUUCUUAUCCGUUCUUACCACGCACACAGGGGCGAACUGCAACCAACCGGUGGAACUCGCGAAAGAUUGGAGGAGCGAUUGCCUGGAGAAACAAAAUAUGCUCGUCGUAGAACUAUGUGGAGUUCUGGGAAGGCUGCACUCAAAUGAAGGAUUAGCACAAUCAAACAAUAAUGCAAAGUUGAAAUAUAGUGCCAAACACGUAACAAGAGUUGCUGGUAACAAGGGAAAUCGAAAGAACAGAGGCAAAGGUGGAGAGGGCGCACCUCUUUUGUUUUUUUUUCUGUUUUUUUUUCUCAGAGGGUGCCCCAAAACUGAUAAUAGGAACACAGAGGAUCACAAGGAGCAAAUUGUGGCACACACUUUUUCUCUCUCUCUCUCUCUAGAGUAAGGCGGACCUCAGAAAAAAGUACCAAGAAAGAGAUAUACGGAUAAGAAAAGCUGGCACGGAAUGCGGGGGGGGGGGGGGGAGUUGCCCCAGAGAGUCGUGACCUAGAGGGAGUCACGGCGCGCGCAAAGGGAGUUUCCACCGAAACAAAACCGGAUCACCUUCCUUCUCCCUGUUGGAUUCUUUUUUUUUUUUUUGCUUCUUUCCUUCUUUUUUUUUUGCACUUUCCUUUUUUUUUGUGAUUGCUUUCUAUCUUUCUCUUUUUUUGGAUAGGGGAGGGGCGAUCGGAGGGGUGGGAUGGCGUGGCGCGGUUGUCGCGAGGGGGGGCGGUGGGCGCGGCGUGGUAGGGUUGGCGAGCAGCGGAACGACGGCGGCGGUGAAAACUAGGGUUAGAGGAAAAACGAGAAACAAGAGAUUAAACACAAGUAACCAGCAACAAUUGAACGAGUAGGCACACAAAUUCAACAAAGACACUUAUUGAAAGAAUGUGCGAGGCUAAACGGUUGCUGGGACAAGGAUCUAACCUGAAAAAAAUUUCUUUUGGUUUUUGUGGACUGUAGGAAGGGAAAAACACUCGGUAAAACUCACCGAUCAACCUGGAAAGCUGAUACCACUUGAUAGAGUCGGAGUGCCCGAUCUUUCGGUGAGUGGAGAUAAAUUCGACUUGGUGGAAGUAGACCCUCAUGAUCCGACUACGACGAGCGAACCCGAAGCGCCAAUGCAAUCGCUGAACCAACUCCCGAUGGUUACCAUCCUCGCCGGUGCGAGAUCAGCCUGAUCACGAAGAUCGAUUCCUGUUCGCAAUCGAAGAACGAAAAAGAAAAAGAGGCGAGCAGUCUAAAUAUCACUCGAAGGUGGAGUUCUGAAUCACAAGGAUAGCGCGUAUUUGCGCGUGUUCAAGAGUAGCUAAAGCUAGAUGUAAAAUAAAACUCAAGUCGUAAACAAAAAGGACUCGGACUAAAUAAAGGGGGCGCAGCCCCUGGAGUCCGAAGGGGUCAUGCGCGCCCAACCCUAGGCGCCCCACUUGGGCUGCCCUGUUGGGCCAUCUUCUUAUUCCGAUGGGCCUUCGUUCCUUAACACCAUGAUGAAGUUUAAUUCUCUCGCACGGCCCCGAGUGAUUGGUCCAACUGGAUGAUCAACUGUAGGCGCCUGAAGUGGAGGAGCAACUGGAGGCGCCUGAGGUGCUGCUGGUGUAGAUGUACUCGUGGUGUCCUCAUCAGAUGUUGCUAGAACCGACUAGUUACUAUAGGGAGAGACGUACUGGUUGCCUUGCCACCGGCACUAACAACGUAAGCCAAGUUUUGGCAGUUGUUGGGUUAAGAACGAGGUAGGCCGUGCAUGCGACAUAAGCUAAAAUCUGUAAAGUCACCCUCCUCAAAAGCAACCUUGCUCGGAAAAGCUCUUCUUUGGUUCUAAGGAUUUCUAGUUUCUUCCAGCUUGUUCUCGGUUAAAAUCCGGAUGCUUUUUCUGUCCGACCUCUGGCUCUUAGAGCUCAUCUCACGUUGUUUUGGUUCUUGGUUCCAGAUGGCCGCCCCUGGACACGUUCUGUAUGGCGCAGAUGGCACCUCUCACUCGACGUGCCUGCACUUCGAGGGUUUUCCCGCUAUCUUGUGGGACACCUUGAAGUGGUUCGGGUACCAGUCUCCACCUUUGUAUGUGGGAUGGUUGUACCUGGAGCAAGGCGUCCAAAGGUGCAACGUGCAGGCAGUAGUACCUCCCUUUCCUGUACGGCCCGACUGGCCCCAGUUUGGAAUCUCAGCAUACGGCCACACACUGGAAGAUACCUGGGAGUCAGCUGCUCUACAGCUCCUCACUCAGUUUUGUCAGCUGCACCCGCUGGAGGUCACCCUAGACCCAAUCGGCUUGUUUCCUGCCAGGAACCGGUUAGACCCGGCCAUUUCCACCAAUGUCAGGUGUAUGUCAGCCCUAUAUCGGCUGAUUGAGCUCCAAGGAUGGGCCAUGGCUGUCCUUGCUCGGAUCGCCGUAAAUACUCAGGGACACCUCAAUGCCGCCAGAAGGGACAUGGUGGGCCAAACAUAUCAACUCAUCCAAAGAGGCAUCCAAAUUCACGACAUGCAGGACCGAAUCUCCGAGCUUGAAGGAGAAGUAGCCAAUUUGGUGGAUGGCAUGAUCGAGGUGUCAGAGGAAAAGAUGGAAGUAGAAAUGGAGCUGGCAGUUGCUAAUUCUCAUCUGGACAAGCAUCACACCGAACUCGAUGACAUGCAUGCCCUCCAGAUGCAGCUGGAAGCACAGGAAGACCCUGAGGAGGUUGAGGAAGCGUCCAGCAUGGACAUUGAAGAGGAUGACGCCCCUUCUCCAACUCACAGUGUUCCCUCGUAGAUGGAGAGUUGUAGGGAACCCAUUCUUUUGUUGUACUCCUCGGUGACCUAAAUUUUGCAUAGUCCUAUAAUAGGUUAGCCUUGAGUUGAGUAUUCCUUGUGUUUUAGUAACAACCUUGUAAAGAUCCCAUUGAAAUCAGAUCCUGAGUUUGACCCUUGACUCCUUGCCACACGUUUGGGAUGCCAGACUGUGUGAGUUUGUGCUGUGACCACACACGCCGUUUUCUGUGGCUCUAUCCAAGUUUGGCCAACCCCGGGUCGCGAGGUCGGAUGCGCCCGACCCCUCGAGGCAGUUCUCCGCCUCGCCCGACCCCUUUUGUGUGGUUCAUUUUGCCGACCCCUUUUCUUGAGUGUUUCGCCUAACCCGACCCCUUGGCCCAAGGUCAGAUGUAAUGGGACUCCUUGAAUCUGGUUAGGGUUUGCCCAAAGUCAUGUGCAGAGCUGAGAUGGCUGCUAACUAGGAUGGCAAGAGGAAGUGUGUGUCUCCUUUAUAAGGCUGUGUUGUGUUGCUUUGUGGCCAGAGCCGCAUUUGAGGAUUUAGCAUGUGUGUUCCCAUCUGUUGAAGUGCUUCUAAGGUGAUGAAUUUAAUGGAACGUUAACUCUUGCAGAUGGCGCAUCGCACCAGAUCUGGUUCUGUGCCCAGCAGCAGCGAGCAAAGACAGGAUCUUUCCCCACCCCCACCCCCGUCUCCAUUGGAGGCGAUCUUAGCGGCUCAAACCGAGCUGCUGAGGCAUCUGGUACAGGGGCAACAACAGCAGCAGCCCCAUGGUGGAAGGGCUCAGCAGCAAACUCAUGUUGCUCGUUAUGAAGACUUCUUGGGGACGCAGCCCCCAUUGUUUCAGAAGACACAAGACCCGCUCGAUGCAGAUGCCUGGGUUUGCACCAUCGAAUCCAAGUUCGAGCUUCUCACCGCCCAGUGCCCGGACCACAACAAAGCCCGAUUUGCAGCUCAGCAGCUACGUGGUCCCGCCCAGCUCUGGUGGGAUCACUACCAUGCCAUGUUGCCAUCCGACCAUAUCGUCAGCUUGAAUGAGUUCAAGACAGCGUUCAGAGGGCAUCACAUUCCGGAUGGUCUCCUGGAGCACAAGCUCAAUGAGUUCCUAGCUCUUACCCAGGGAAACCGAGAUGUGUUGCACUACGCCCAAGCCUUCAACGAUCUGUGCCGUUAUGCCGGAUAUCACGCGGACACCGACGAGAAGAAGUGGGACAGAUUCCGCAGAGGGCUAAGCUUGGAGCUCCGAAAAAGGUUAAACCCGAUAAGGGUGGAUAUGUACAAUGAGUUGGUCAACCUGGCCAUCUCACAAGAGGACUGCAUGAAGGCUCUGGCAGCCGAGAGGUAGAGGAAAGCUCCACUGCCAACGCCCAGCCCACCUGUGCAGCGUUUCAGAAUGGUUCCACCCCAGGUGCCCAGCCGACCCCAGCAGUCGGGAAGAUGGGUUGCCCGACCCCCGCCAGCGGCAGCGCCCCGUUUUUCUGGUUUCCAACCACAGGCGCCCCGGCCAACCCUGCCGCCACCCCCAUGCCCUGCAACGGGUAACCGCUGCUUUGCCUGCGGCGAUGUGGGGCAUUUCGCCAAGGACUACCCCAGAAAUCAGAGCCCGCGCCCAGGGCAGAGCAAUGCAACGCUCAACAAAGGGAAGAGGCCCAAGGUGCAAGUUCGCCAGGGUCGAUUGAACUUCACCCACGCAGCAGAGCUUCCUGAAGGUGCGCCGAUAAUGAUGGGUACCUUUCUGAUUCACAGUUUUUCAGCUUUGGUUUUGUUUGACUCGGGAGCUUCACAUAGUUUUAUCGGAAGAAAGACCCGUGAUAGGUGUGGGUUACAGGAAUGCCAAACCAGAGGGUCUUUUAGGAUAUCCACCCCGGGUGGAAUAAUCACAUCUGAUAGGAUGAGUGUCAAUGUGCCUAUCCAGCUAGGCCAAAACCUUUUUAAGGAAAAUCUUAUCAUCCUUGACCUGGAAGGAAUAGAUAUCAUCCUUGGGAUGGAUUGGAUGACCAGACACCAAGUGGUUCUAGACCCAGCUGCCCAAACCCUCCACAUCAACUCACCUUUUCAUGGUAGUUCUACCCUAUCUUUGAAAUAUCCUAAGAUCGCACUUCCCUGUGCGUACCCUCUAUCGCAAGCCCGGCUAGAAAGCCUCCCUGUUGUCUGUGAGUACCCGGAUGUAUUCCCAGAGGACUUGCCCGGCAUGCCACCCGAUAGAGAUGUGGAGUUUUCCAUAGAGUUGAUCCCCGGUACCGCUCCAAUAUCCAAGAGACCCUAUCGAAUGCCACCAGCUGAGCUGGCCGAGUUGAAGACCCAGUUGCAUGAUCUGUUGGAAAAAAGUUUCAUCCGACCCAGUGCAUCACCCUGGGGUUGCCCGGCCAUGUUUGUGAAGAAGAAGGACGGCAGUCUACGCAUGUGUGUAGACUACCGACCUCUCAAUGCGGUGACUAUCAAAAACAAGUAUCCACUCCACCGCAUUGAUGUCUUGUUUGAUCAGUUAGCUGGAGCUAGAAUGUUCUCCAAGAUCGAUCUUCGUUCAGGUUAUCACCAGAUCAAGAUCUGACCAUGUGACAUCCCUAAGACUGCCUUCUCCACAAGAUAUGGACUCUACGAGUACCUGGUCAUGUCUUUUGGACUCACCAAUGCACCCGCAUACUUCAUGUAUCUCAUGAACUCAGUGUUCAUGCCCGAGUUGGACAAGUUUGUAGUGGUGUUCAUUGAUGAUAUCCUGGUGUACUCGAAGAGCGAAGAAGAACAUGCCAACCAUCUUCGCGUAGUUCUCCAACGGCUGAGAGAUCAUCAGCUCUAUGCCAAGUUCUCCAAGUGUGAAUUUUGGUUAGAUAGUGUCAAGUUCUUGGGACACACUAUCUCUAGGAAUGGCAUAGCCGUCAACCCCAGCAAGGUACAGGAAGUCAUGGACUGGAAGCCUCCCACCUCAGUGCACCAGAUCCGAAGUUUCCUUUGACUAGCAGGCUACUAUCGGCGUUUCAUACCGGACUUCUCCAAGAUAGCGAAGCCGAUGACUGAACUGCUGAAGAAAGAGGUCAAGUUUGCAUGGAACAAUAAGUGUGAAGAAGCCUUCAAGACCCUAAAGCGCUUGCUGACCACAGCCCCGUUUUGGCUCAACCCGACCCCUCUAGGUCGUUUGACGUGUACUGUGACGCCUCUGGCACUGGACUUGGGUGUGUUCUUAUGCAAGACAACCGAGUCAUUGCCUAUGCCUCACGGGCGUUACGACCUCAUGAGCUGAACUACCCGACCCAUGAUCUUGAGUUGGCAGUAGUGGUUCAUGCCUUAAAGAUAUGGAGACACUAUCUGAUGGGCACUCACUGCAAUAUCUACACCGACCACAAUAGCCUCAAGUAUAUCUUCACCCAAGUCGACCUCAACAUGCGCCAAAGAAGAUGGUUAGAGUUGAUAAAGGACUAUGAUUUGGAAGUGCACUAUCACCCCGGCAAGGCCAAUGUGGUAGCCGAUGCUCUUAGCCGCAAGACCUCUUGCAAUUGCUUGUCGGCAACAACCUUCACCGAGACUUUGUGUCAUGAGAUGGGAAAACUCAGUUUGGAAAUUGUUUCCCAUGGAACCCUCGGCCACAUAGCUCUUGAGUCUGUUUUGGAAGACCAAAUAAGGUCAGCAAAAGUAGAGGAUGAGGAAGUAAGGCGGAUCACAAGGAAGAUUUCCUUGAAGGAUGAAGGAUAUAAGCAGUUUCGGCAGGAUGAGACUGAAAGUGUAUUAUGGAAACCGACUGGUAGUUCCAGCCGACCCCAAUUUGAGGAAGCAAAUCCUAGAUGAAGCCCAUCUCUCUAAGUUCUCACUCCAUCCUGGCAGCAAUAAGAUGUACCAUGACCUCCGUCAAACCUUCUGGUGGAGUGGAAUGAAGCCGGAAAUUGCCCAGUAUGUUUCAGAGUGUGACACCUGCCAACGCGUCAAGGCCAGUCAUCUAAAGGUAGCAGGUACUCUGUAGCCCCUACCUAUUCCCUCUUGGAAAUGGGAAGAUAUCAGCAUGGAUUUCAUUGUUGGACUGCCCCUUUCAUCGCAGCGACAUGAUUCCAUUUGGGUUAUAGUGGACCGUCUGACCAAGACCGCCCACUUCCUUCCUGUCCACACCACCCACACGGUCAAGCAGUAUGCAGAGCUGUACCUCGACCGCAUAGUUUCCCUACACGGUGUGCCUAAGACCAUCAUCUCUGAUCGAGGAGUUCAGUUUGUAGCACGCUUUUGGGAACAACUACAAGCAUCCAUGGGCACCAAACUCAUCCGUAGCUCAACCUAUCAUCCUCAAACCGAUGGUCAAACCGAAAGAGUCAAUCAGAUCCUUGAAGACAUGUUGAGAGCUUGUGUCAUCCACUAUGACAAAAAUUGGGGCAAGUGCUUGCCAUUGGCGGAGUUCUCCUACAACAAUAGCUACCAAGCCAGUUUGAAGAUGGCACCGUUUGAAGCAUUGUAUGGACGAAGAUGCCGGACACCAUUGAACUGGUCCCAAGCUGGAGAGAGAUAGAUUUAUGGUCCUGACUUAGUGGUAGAGGCCGAAGAGCAAGUGAAGGUAAUUCGAGCAAAUCUCAAGGCUGCCCAAUCUAGACAGAAAAGUUACUCAGACAGCAGAAGAAGGCCCCUACAGUUUGACAUAAGUGAUCAUGUGUAUCUUCGGGUCUCCCCGACAAAAGGAGUACAACGUUUUGGAGUAAAAGGGAAAUUGGCUCCCCAUUACAUUGGCCCAUAUGAAAUUGUGGCGGAUCCACUUCGAAUUAGCUUGAUUGAACAGGGUUAAGCCGCCUAACAUGCGACACUCCUGCCCUAACCAAGUUAACACGAAGUGCCGUCGGAUUUCAUCCGAUUUAACCACUUGAACAGGAUCGAGUUUAGCAACUCACACGAAGGUGAGUGGUUCCAGAGAAUACAACGAGUCCACUGAGUUAGACAAAUUUACUUAUUUGGUUCGACCAUAAAAUCCAACAUCAGAGUUUUACAAGAUUCCAAAGAAACAACAGAGAAAAACACUAGCGGAAGACUUCGUCGGGGUCGGACAUCCCUGGUGAGGCCAACCGGGACAUCACUGGUUCCUCUCCUCGCCGUCCGAGGAAGGAUCCCACUCGACCGUCCAGCCCGGCGGGAGCUGGGGUGGCCAAGCACCAGCAAGAGAGAGGUCGGGCGCAACAACCUCACCUGAAAAAUAGGAGCCACAACAAGGCUGAGCUACUAAGCUCAACAAGACUUAACCGAUGGGGGUAAAACUACUCCUCCAUCUAGACAUGCAAAGCUUUUUGGCUGAGGGGUUUGGUUGCCAAAAGCACUAAGUAACAACCUAUUUUCAAGUUUUAGCUCCGGUUCUAGGUUCAUUUACCAGUCUAGGUUGUGCAACCUAUUCUAAGCAUUCAUAGAACCAAACAAGAGGUAUAGAUAUAUCAAUCAAACAUGUCAUCAUCAGAUUCCUCAUUUACUCAGGGUGACAUAGCGAUCAAGCAAUCUCAAACUGUGAGAGGCAGACGAAUCAAUUCGAGUUCUUUAACCAUGCAUGGUGAACCUAGCCUCACGACAUCCGCGCACCCGGAGGUCGCUUCAUGUGUCGGCCUUCUCCAUCAAUCCCCUAACCCGUGUCGGGCCCAUUUCCUUUGGUGCAAGGUUCCACCGACCCGGCCUCUGCCGUUCUGUGACCAUGCUUGCCACCACGUGCGACAACCAGCAGGGGAAAUUCCGUUCCAAGAACAAUUGGGCGACCGCUCACGUCUAGGUUCAAUCUGGUACUAGGCUUCCUCAUCCCAUACUAAGUAUGAGGCUAGUACUUUCAAACACUUGAUCACGAACACCACCACUGUCGGGCCUUAGCAGUUUUCAUAGACAGACGGGGCUAACAUCCGACCACCAAAGAGUUACCAAAACCCUGCCCCGUCCAUCGUCCUUAUAGUUGUAAUAGAAAGAUAGACAUCCAACUCCUACAACUCGCGAGUGACAGGAGAUCACUCGACUUUUACCGUCUCCUAUUAAGCAAGGCGACUACUCGGUCCAACAGCUAGUGCUCAGAUCAUGGGGACAACUAGAUCAUGCAUCUAGGGUUUCACACAACUCCUAUACGUAAAUGCACAAGCAUGUUACAGAAGGCAUGCGCAAGUCUGGUAAAACACUCAAGGUUUUCAUGCAACCGGGGCUUGCCUUCAAGCAAGUAGGACGGGAACUGCUCGACUUCGGGGGCGACUUCGGCUUCAGUGGGCAGGAACUCAGCUACAGCUUCUUCUUCUGGCGCCGGGUGAAGCUCGUAGAAGCCGUCGGCGAGGUGCAGCUCUACACGAAUGCAAUGCAAGAGUUAGCAUAGACGGUUAUUUCAACAGCACACUGGCUCGCCUGAGCCCAGAAACUCGCGACAAAGAGCAGGAGGGCCGGGAGGUUCAAGAGAGUUGGUGACGAUCAAGAGGCAAGGGUAGGAAAAGAACUCAUGAUCUGAUCCUUGAACUAGAGGAUGUGAUACACUAGGAAGCCUCAGACGCAAGCGCUGAAGGGUUCCUAAUUUUACACAUACACCCUCGGGUUGAAGAAAAGAUCACAGCCGAACCCUCGGGCGAGGCGGACAAGGGUCGGCGGAACAGACAGGGUCGGGCGAGACGGAACCGGGGUCGGGCGGAUAGGAGGGGUCGGGCGAGGCGGACUAGGGUCGGCAACUCACCUUCUUCCUGAAAGGAAAGCUUGGGGGUCGGGAAGAAGCAGACUUGGGCGGAGGAACUAAAGCUUGAACAAGGGCCAAGAUUGGCAGUGCUCCGGCGGCGGCGAUGCUUCUUGCGGAUCACAAGUAAGCUUUCUCGCAGCACGGAGGAGCAAGCUUUGGAGAAAACUAAGGGAGAGAGCUGAGAGGAGAGCUCCUCAAGAACUUGGUGUGCGGCGCUAGGAGCGUGAGCAGGUAGCGAGAGAAUGGCUGAAGGCAACAAUGGCGGAGGGAACUCCGGCGACGUGGGCAUUCCUUUUAUAGCUGCUGGAACGGAGAAGGGGAGCGGCGCGAAGGCCGGGGAGAAGCAAUGGAGUGCUCUGCCGGGGCGGCGAUUGAGUGAAGAGGGCGGUGGUGCAGGACUCCGGGGGUGACGCCAGCGGUCAUUGCGCUCUGCCGUCAGGGCGGCGUAGGAACGGGUAGACCGGUGGUUGAGAUUUGGCGGAAAGCGGGCGUCGUCGUGCGGAAGAUUUGAUAGAAGCGACCGGUUUAACGGCGCUAGAAUCGAGGGUGCACAGGUGAGAAGACAGGCAGACGCGGGAGCGCGGGCGAGCGCGGAGCAACAGAUUGUCGGGCGGCUUCUGACAGGGCGGGGAAAGGAGCUGUCGCGGCCGUGGUCGGGGUUGGCGGUGGAGGAAUCGUCGUGUAGCAGAGACCGGGCGGCGUGACUGUGGCUGAAGGGACGAAAAAGACGGGCGACAUCGGGCUCUGGGGCCGGGAUCUGGCGGUGUGAUGAUGGGCGCGGGAGGCGAGGUUCUGCAGAAAGGGUGCAGAGGGCUUCCGCUGCCAUUGGGGAAGGGGGCACGAGAACCCACUUGGUCGCUUGCCAGAGACAAAACUGAGCGGCGGGCGUCGGAGAAGAUGAGCCACGCGGCAGGAAGAUUCUGAAGCGAGCAUGCAACUCGAGUGCGCCUGUCGCGGAGGAUCUGGGAAAAAGAUCGCGCGGGUCCACCGGGCGGAUAGAACGGACGCUUGAGGAAGAUUAGAAGGAUCCGACGGCGGGCUGAGCUCGCCGGGGUCGGGAGAAGAGCGAAACGGGAAGGGGUCGGAUCUCAGGGGUCGGGAUCAGGCUGAAAGCUGAUCACUCAGGCAGGGUAAGCAAGACAGGUGACUAAGGUCAAGGGCUCUGAUUAAGAUUAACUUGGAAGGUUUAGGGGUCGGUCGUUACAGAAAUUGUGGAAAUUUGUGGACCAGUUGCCUAUCGGAUCCAACUCCCAAAACAGCUCUCGGCCAUACAUGAUGUUUUCCAUGUGUCUCAACUGAAGAAAUGUGUCCAAGUCCCAACCGAGAUCUUAGAACAGGAGCAGCUUCAGAUCGAGCCUGACCUAACCUAUGCAGAAUACCCGACCAAGGUCCUUGAUCAGAAGGAGAGGCGCACCCGACGCCAAGUGGUCAAAAUGUACAAGAUCCUCUGGAGAAACCACACGGAGGAUGAAGCAACGUGGGAAACAGAAGAGUACUUGAACAAGCACUUUCCAGGUUUUCUUUCCAGCCAAGGAGGUAAGGACUACACACCCCCACCGGUUGCUUCUACAUCCGAAUCUCGGGACAAGAUUCUUCUUAAGGGGGGUAGGCUGUAACGACCUCGGUUAAAAUCCUCCACGUUAAAUCUUAAUCCAAGUCCCUGAUCCCCUGUCUCAGCUUUACCAAGUCUAAGUGCUCAACCUCCAGUUCGGUCCCGACCCCUGUGAUCCGACCCCUCUUCGUUUUUCCCCAAUUCCGACCCCGCCGACCCCAACCCACCCGCCAGAUCUUUCUAAGUCCUCCCACAACACCUCCCUUCAGUCUGAGCCGUGGACCACCAAGACUGACCGGUGGACCCACGAGAUCUUUCUCCCAGAUCUCCUGCGACAGGCGCACUCGAGUUGCAUGCCCGCUUUAGAGUUCCCUUGCCGCGUGGCUCAACUUCUCCGACGCCCGCCGCUCCACCUCGUCGCCGGCCACGACCGGAUGGAUUCUCGCGCCCCCUUCCCCAAUCGCAGCGGAAGCUCCUCUGCUACCCUUUCUGCGGCACCUUGCCGCCCACGCCCAUCACCUCGCUAAACCCCCGGCUGCAGAGCCCAAUGCCGCCCAUCUUUUCCGUUGCCCCUCCACAGUCGCGCCGCCCCGGUCCGCGCUACGCGACGAUUCCUCCUCCGCCAACCCAGACCGCGGCAGCGACAGCUCCUUUCCUGCCCUGUUAGAGCUCCGCCCCUGACAAUUUGUUGCUCCGCGCUCGCCCGCGGGACCGCAGCCGCCUGUCUUCUCACCUAUGCACCCUCGUUUCUAGCGCCGUUUCCCGGGUCACUUCCAUCAGAUCCACCACACGACGACGCCCGCCUCCGCCAAAUCUCAACCACCGGCAAAACCACGCCUGCGCCGCCUUGUCAUCGGUGCCCAAUGACCGCCGGUGUCAUCCCCGAAGUCCUGCUCCACCGCCCUCGUCGCUCAAUCACCGCCCCGGCAGAGCACUCCAUCAUUUCUUCCCUGGCCUUCGCGCCGCUCCCCCUUCUCUCUUCCGCACAGCUAUAAAAGGGAAUGCCAGAGCCCCGCUGAAGUUCCCCUUCGCCAUCGUUGCUCUCCCUCUUUGCUCCCUGUUCGUGCUCACAGCGCCACCGCCUAAGUUCUGAGGAACUCUCCUCUCCGUCCCACACCACUCUCUCAAUCCGCCCAGCCUCUCGCUCCUCCGCGCUGCGCAAACGCUUGCUUGUGGUUCACAAGAAGCCCCGCCGCCGCCGGAACCCACCGGACCUCGCCGCUGUCCCAAGCCUUAGUCUUUCCGCCCGAGUCUGCUCUUUCCUGACCCCAAGCCUCAUCUGUAAGAUGAAGGUAAGCUACCAACCCUUUGUUCGUCUCGUCCGACCCCUCCUAUCUGCCUGACCCCGGUUCCGUCUUGCCCGACCCUGUCUGUUCCGCCGACCUUUCUCCGCCUCGCCCGAGGGCUCGUCUGUAUCUUUUUCGUUGAACCAAGGGUGUAUGUGUAAAACUUGGGGACUUUUCAGCGUUAAGUCUGAGGACCCCUAGCACAUCUAUUCCUCUAGAUUAAGGGUCUGAUCAUAAGUUCCUUCCCAUCCAACCUUUAUAUCUUGAUCUCCACCAACUCAAGCGAACCUCCCCACCCUCCCGUGACUUGCCGCAAGUUUCUGGGCUCAAACUUGCAAGUGUUGCUAUUGAAAUAACCAUAUAAAUGAUAACCAAUGCAUUGCAUUCGUGUAGAGCUGCGUCUCGUCGACAGCUUCUACGAGCUGCACCCGGCGCCAGAAGACGAAGGUGUAGCCGAGCUCCCGCCUCCAGAAGCCGACGACGUCCAAGCAGAAGAGCAGUUUCCCUCCUCCUUGUUCGAAGGCAAGCCCCGGAUGCAUGAAUCCCCCUGUGUUUUACCAAACUUGCGCAUGCCUUCUUUAUCAUGCUUGUGCAUUUACGUAUAGGAGUUGUUUGGAACCCUAGAUGCAUGACUUAGAUCCCUUGAUCUGAUCACUAGCUGUUGGACCGAGUAGAUGCUUUGCUUAAAUAGGAAACAGUAAAAGCCGAGUGAUUUCCUAUCACUCGCGAGUUGUAGGAGUUGGCUGUUUUCCUUCUGUUACAACUAUAAGGACGAUGGAUGGGGCAAGGUGUUGGGUAACUCUUUGGUGGUUGGUUGAUCGCCCCGUCUGUCUAUGAAACUUGCUAAGGCCCGACAAUGGUGGUGUUCGUGAUCAAGUGUUUGAAAGUACUAAUCUCAUACCUAGUAUGGGAUGGGGAAGCCUAGUACCUGAUUGAACUAGGGCGUGGCUUAUACCCCUGCUGUCCCUGGAACGAGGUUCCCAUGGUGCAUCAUGUGGGUGCAAGUGCGGUCACAGUACGGUAGAGGCCGGGACUGUGGAGCAUUGCAUGCCAAGGGAAGUUUGGACCUGACACGUGCCUAGGAAUUGAUGGGGACGGCUGACACAGGAAGCGACCCUUGUGGUGCACGGAUGUCGUGAGAUUAGGUUCGCCAUGCAUGGUUAAGAAACCCGAAUCGAUUCGUCUGCCUCUCACAGUUUGAGAGUGCUUGAUCGCUAUGUCACCCUGAGUAAUAAAGGAAUCUGAUGAUGACAUGGUCUUGAUGAUGAUGUAUAUAUACCUUUUGGUUGGUUAUAUGGUUGCUUAGAAUAGGUUGCAAACUUAGACCGGAUAAUGAUCUUAGAACCUGAGCUAAAACUUGAAACUAGGAAUACACCUAGCGCUUUUGGCAAACAAACCCCUCAGCCAAAAAGGCUUGCAUGUCUAGAAGUGGUGGAGUAGCGUACUCCCUGUCGGUUAAGUCUUGUUGAGCUUAGUAGCUCAGCCUUGUUGUGGCUCUUCUUUUUUAGAUGAAGUUGCUGCCCCUGAGCCCUCCUCUGUUGGCACUUGGCCGCCCCAACUCCCUCCGGGUUGGACGGUUGAGUGGGAUCCCUCCUCGGACGGCG